rnacentral:rRNA from 1 species
GAUGAACGCUGGCGGCGUGCCUAAUACAUGCAAGUCGAGCGAACGGACGAGAAGCUUGCUUCUCUGAUGUUAGCGGCGGACGGGUGAGUAACACGUGGAUAACCUACCUAUAAGACUGGGAUAACUUCGGGAAACCGGAGCUAAUACCGGAUAAUAUUUUGAACCGCAUGGUUCAAAAGUGAAAGACGGUCUUUCUGUCACUUAUAGAUGGAUCCGCGCUGCAUUAGCUAGUUGGUAAGGUAACGGCUUACCAAGGCAACGAUGCAUAGCCGACCUGAGAGGGUGAUCGGCCACACUGGAACUGAGACACGGUCCAGACUCCUACGGGAGGCAGCAGUAGGGAAUCUUCCGCAAUGGGCGAAAGCCUGACGGAGCAACGCCGCGUGAGUGAUGAAGGUCUUCGGAUCGUAAAACUCUGUUAUUAGGGAAGAACAUAUGUGUAAGUAACUGUGCACAUCUUGACGGUACCUAAUCAGAAAGCCACGGCUAACUACGCG